UACGUAGGCAGCAAGCGUUGUUCGGAGUUACUGGGCGUAAAGCGUGCGUAGGCGGCUCAGAAAGUUGGGUGUGAAAUCCCUCGGCUCAACCGAGGAAUUGCGCCCAAAACUACUGGGCUUGAGGGAGUUAGAGGUGAGCGGAACUCACGGUGGAGCGGUGAAAUGCGUUGAUAUCGUGAGGAACACCGGAGGCGAAAGCGGCUCACUGGGGCUUCACUGACGCUGAGGCACGAAAGCUAGGGGAGCAAACGGG
rnacentral:rRNA from 1 species